rnacentral:rRNA from 1 species
CAGGAUUAGAUACCUGGUAGUCCACGCUGUAAACGAUGUCGAUUUGGAGGUUGUUCCCUUGAGGAGUGGCUUCCGGAGCUAACGCGUUAAAUCGACCGCCUGGGGAGUACGGCCGCAAGGUUAAAACUCAAAUGAAUUGACGGGGGCCCGCACAAGCGGUGGAGCAUGUGGUUUAAUUCGAUGCAACGCGAAGAACCUUACCUACUCUUGACAUCCAGAGAAUUUAGCAGAGAUGCUUUAGUGCCUUCGGGAACUCUGAGACAGGUGCUGCAUGGCUGUCGUCAGCUCGUGUUGUGAAAUGUUGGGUUAAGUCCCGCAACGAGCGCAACCCUUAUCCUUUGUUGCCAGCACGUUAUGGUGGGAACUCAAAGGAGACUGCCGGUGAUAAACCGGAGGAAGGUGGGGAUGACGUCAAGUCAUCAUGGCCCUUACGAGUAGGGCUACACACGUGCUACAAUGGCGUAUACAAAGAGAAGCGACCUCGCGAGAGCAAGCGGAACUCAUAAAGUACGUCGUAGUCCGGAUUGGAGUCUGCAACUCGACUCCAUGAAGUCGGAAUCGCUAGUAAUCGUAGAUCAGAAUGCUACGGUGAAUACGUUCCCGGGCCUUGUACACACCGCCCGUCACACCAUGGGAGUGGGUUGCAAAAGAAGUAGGUAGCUUAACCUUCGGGAGGGCGCUUACCACUUUGUGAUUCAUGACUGGGGUGAAGUCGUAACAAGGUAACCA